GUAGGGAAUAUUGCACAAUGGGCGAAAGCCUGAUGCAGCAACGCCGCGUGUGCGAUGAAGGCCUUCGGGUUGUAAAGCACUUUUCUGAGGGAAGAGGAAGGACUGUACCUCAGGAAUAAGUCUCGGCUAACUACGUGCCAGCAGCCGCGGUAACACGUAGGAGGCAAGCGUUAUCCGGAUUUACUGGGCGUAAAGCGCGUGCAGGCGGUUUGGUAAGUUGGAUGUGAAAGCUCCUGGCUUAACUGGGAGAGGUCGUUCAAUACUGCCAGACUAGAGGACGGUAGAGGAAGGUAGAAUUCCUGGUGUAGUGGUGAAAUGCGUAGAUAUCAGGAGGAAUACCAGAGGCGAAGGCGGCCUUCUGGGCCGUUCCUGACGCUAAGACGCGAAAGCAUGGGUAGCAAACGGGAUUAGAAACCCUAGUAGUCC
rnacentral:rRNA from 1 species